rnacentral:rRNA from 1 species
UACGGGGGGGGUAAGCGUUGUUCGGAAUUACUGGGCGUAAAGGGCUCGUAGGCGGCCAACUAAGUCAGACGUGAAAUCCCUCAGCUUAACUGGGGAACUGCGUCUGAUACUGGAUGGCUUGGAUUCGGGAGAGGAAUGCGGAAUUCCAGGUGUAGCGGUGAAAUGCGUAGAUAUCGAGAGGAACACCUGCGGCGAAGGCGGGUAGCUGGGCCGACACUGACGCUGAGGCGCGAAAGCCAGGGGAGCGAACGGG